UUACAAACAUAACCACACACAAAAAAAUUGCAUUUUACCUGUCGGCCCCGUCUAUAAAUUAUACUAUUAUCUCACAAAGUUUUGGAGGGUGAACUUAGGCUUGUUGGGGGAAAACAGAAGCUGAGAAUGGCAUCACAAGAGGCAGAAGCAUUUUUCAAAAGCCAAUUUGAAAUAUUCCAACUCUCGCUUGGUUUUGUUGAUUCUAUGGCUUUAAAGUGUGCGGUGGAGCUUAGACUGCCAGAAAUAAUAAAUUCUCACGGUCGUCCAAUCUCUCUGUCCCAAAUAGCUUCAGGUAUUAACUCACCUAGCUCGGACAUUUCUUAUCUUGCUCGUAUCAUGAGAUAUUUGGUCAGAAAAGAAAUUUUUACUGCACACCCCCCGUCAGAUGGAGGAGAAACACUCUUUGGGCUGAAUCAAAAAUCAAGAAUGCUAAUGCAUGACUCUGAACGAAGCCUCGUUUCUAUAAUAACCAUGCAACACAGUUCAUGGUUCCUAGCAGCGUGGCAUUGCUUGAGCCAAUGUAUCAAAGAAGGUGGAACCGCUUUCUCGAAGGCUCAUGGCUGUGAACUGUGGGAUUUUGCGUCUCGAAAUCCUGAGGUCAAUAGGAUUUUCAAUGAGGCCAUGGCAUGCACAUCAAAUAUCACGAUGAGGGCAAUUUUAUCACAUUACAAAGAUGGUUUCAACAAUAUUAGAUCAUUGGUGGAUGUUGCUGGUGGUAUUGGAGGACAUGUAGCAGAGAUUGUCAGGGCCUACCCACACAUUGAAGGAAUAAACUUCGAUCUGCCACAUGUUGUUGCAACAGCACCAAAAUAUGAAGGAGUUUCCCAUGUUGCAGGAAAUAUGUUUGAGGCUAUUCCUAAUGCUGAUGCAAUUUUCAUACAGCGGAUAUUGCAUGAUUGGACCGAUGAAUCAUGCGUUGAAAUUUUGAGAAAUUGCAAGAAAGCAAUACCUGAAAAAACUGGAAAGCUUAUCAUAGUUGAUAUAGUUCUACCAACAGAUGAUCAUUGUGAUCAAUUUGAUGAUAUAAGAAUGGUAAUGGAUUUAGUGAUGUUUGCACUGACCACUGGUGGGAAGGAGAGAACUGAGCAAGAAUGGAAGAAAUUAUUAGAGGAAGGAGGCUUCUCUCGCUAUAAAAUCAUCAAGAUCCCAGCUUUGGAAUCUAUUAUCGAGGCUUAUCCAGAUCCAGAGUGAAAUAUCAAUUUGUUAGUCAUAAUAAUAUCUUAAAUAAGUAAACUACGCCUGCGAUGCAGCAGUCAAUAAUAAUAUUAGGCAUAAUAAUCCGACCCAUGUAACGCCUUUCCCUAAACUGUAUUCAUAGAUUCUUAAAGCUUUAUAAUAUAUUAUUGAUUAUGAUGGUCGCUUGUGGUUGUAAUCUAUAGAAACUAGAUGAUUAUAUAUAUGUUUUAUAGUAAAGCAAGUAUUUUUGGAUUAGUCUUUACGUACGUAACUGAGACUCGAUCCACCACUCACAGAAAUAGGUCAGCGCCCGAUCACCCCUGGCCUAGGAACGAUUCCAAGAACCAGACUCUUUGAAUCUAGUAACAAUCAAUAUGCAAUAUUACACGAAGAAAAAUAACAUUUUCGAUGGUGAGAAUUGAACUUCGAACUCAAUGAGUUCGAAGCACAUUCUCCUAUAUUGCUCCACAACAAUCUUUGAUGGUAGAAAAUAAUAUAAUGAUAACAAUGGUAAUGGAUUUAGUGAUGUUUGCACACUCCACAGGUGGGAAGGAAAGAGCUCAUCAAGAAUGGAAGAAAUUAUUAGAGGAAAGAGGCUUCUCUCGCUAUAAAAUCAUCAAGAUUCCAGCUUUGGAAUCUAUUAUCGAGGCUUAUCCAGAGUGAAAUAUCAAUUUGUUAUUGUCAUUAUAAUAUCUUAAAUAAGUAAACUACGCCUGCGAUGCAGCAGUCAAUAAUAAUAUUAGGCAUAAUAAUCCGACCCAUGUAACGCCUUUCCCUAAACUGUAUUCAUAGAUUCUUAAAGCUUUAUAAUAUAUUAUUGAUUAUGAUGGUCGCUUGUGGUUGUAAUCUAUAGAAACUAGAUGAUUAUAUAUAUGUUUUAUAGUAAAGCAAGUAUUUUUGGAUUAGUCUUUACGUACGUAACUGAGACUCGAUCCACCACUCACAGAAAUAGGUCAGCGCCCGAUCACCCCUGGCCUAGGAACGAUUCCAAGAACCAGACUCUUUGAAUCUAGUAACAAUCAAUAUGCAAUAUUACACGAAGAAAAAGAACAUUUUCGAUGGUGAGAAUUGAACUUCGAACUUAAUGAGUUCGAAGCACAUUCUCCUAUAUUGCUCCACAACAAUCUUUGAUGGUAGAAAAUAAUAUAAUGAUAACAAUGGUAAUGGAUUUAGUGAUGUUUGCACACUCCACAGGUGCGAAGGAGAGAGCUCAUCAAGAAUGGAAGAAAUUAUUAGAGGAAAGAGGCUUCUCUCGCUAUAAAAUCAUCAAGAUUCCAGCUUUGGAAUCUAUUAUCGAGGCUUAUCCAGAGUGAAAUAUCAAUUUGUUAUUGUCAUUAUAAUAUCUUAAAUAAGUAAACUACGCCUGCGAUGCAGCAGUCAAUAAUAAUAUUAGGCAUAAUAAUCCGACCCAUGUAACGCCUUUCCCUAAACUGUAUUCAUAGAUUCUUAAAGCUUUAUAAUAUAUUAUUGAUUAUGAUGGUCGCUUGUGGUUGUAAUCUAUAGAAACUAGAUGAUUAUAUAUAUGUUUUAUAGUAAAGCAAGUAUUUUUGGAUUAGUCUUUACGUACGUAACUGAGACUCGAUCCACCACUCACAGAAAUAGGUCAGCGCCCGAUCACCCCUGGCCUAGGAACGAUUCCAAGAACCAGACUCUUUGAAUCUAGUAACAAUCAAUAUGCAAUAUUACACGAAGAAAAAGAACAUUUUCGAUGGUGAGAAUUGAACUUCGAACUUAAUGAGUUCGAAGCACAUUCUCCUAUAUUGCUCCACAACAAUCUUUGAUGGUAGAAAAUAAUAUAAUGAUAACAAUGGUAAUGGAUUUAGUGAUGUUUGCACACUCCACAGGUGCGAAGGAGAGAGCUCAUCAAGAAUGGAAGAAAUUAUUAGAGGAAAGAGGCUUCUCUCGCUAUAAAAUCAUCAAGAUUCCAGCUUUGGAAUCUAUUAUCGAGGCUUAUCCAGAGUGAAAUAUCAAUUUGUUAUUGUCAUUAUAAUAUCUUAAAUAAGUAAACUACGCCUGCGAUGCAGCAGUCAAUAAUAAUAUUAGGCAUAAUAAUCCGACCCAUGUAACGCCUUUCCCUAAACUGUAUUCAUAGAUUCUUAAAGCUUUAUAAUAUAUUAUUGAUUAUGAUGGUC